GGGGGGGGGGGGGGGCGGGGAACUAUUCUAACUCCCUAGCAGACCAGUGGGCAGGGGCAGGAGGAAGCCACCUGGAUCUCAUCAGGUGCCUGUUUCAGGUGACUUGUGUGCUCAGGCCAGCCUUCGGUCACCCACAGCACAUGGAAUUGGGAAGCUGGGAUGUGAUCUGUCUCCAAGCCCUCCAGCCCUCCGGGAGGAGAGGGCCCUGAGUUUGCCCUGCAAGUCACUGGUCCAGACGGUGGCUAACACGGAAGCAUUUUUGCAUCUGGGCGAAAAGUCCAAGAGUGACAGCGGCUGUUUCAGUGCUGCGGCACUUUCCUCAGCCCUGUUUGGUUUUCUCAACAAUCCCACUCAGUUGGUUUAAUUACUGCCAGUGUUUCCCAAAUAAGAGUCGUCCAGGGGUUCCUAACAGGCAUGAGGUCAUGCCAGGUAAGUGGGGAAGCCAGGACUUGCCCCCUGCCCCUGCCUCUGCACUCCGAGCACCAAGCUCCACGGUGUUCCAGCCUCUGCUGGGACCUGGGCCCCACCCCAGCGGCCCGCCCCGCCUCGCCCCGCCCGGCAGCUGGCAGCUGGCCGCUGGCCGGGCGGGCUUUCCUGGACUCUGCUGUCUGCUCCUGAUCCAACAGGUACAGCCCGGAGUCCCUGCCCAGCACCCGGCCCUGGGCCCCAGGCUGUGGAAUGUAAGAGAAGCAUCCAACAGCCCGCCCUCCCAAUUUCCUGCCGGCUGGGGCAGUGCCGCUUGGGUGAGAGGGGCGGCGGAGGCACCGGCUGCCUCCGCACCCUCGCCCUGCGGUGCCCCCGCCGCUCACUCAGGCUUUGCUCCCCUCGGGGCUCGCGGGGCCUCUGCCUUUCGUCCGGCCCUCUGUUUUCUGUUUCGCCCUGGCAGGUUCCAUCUGGCACUUAGAUCUUAUAAAUAGCCGCAGCUAGGGUGUGACUCGGGUGGAGACGUGGAGCUGGUACUCCACCCUGAAGGGGAAAAAAGCUCAUUUAAUUCAUUUCUGCACUUGGAAGCCUCUCCCUUUUCGAACGCCAAUUAGGCGGCAGCUGCUGGGGACUUUUUUCCUCUGCUUAUCCCAAGAUGGCCGUCUGAUUUUCGGCGCCUGUUGACUUAAGCUCUUCCAGGAGGUUGGGUGGGGCGGGCGUGGUAGGACCCCGGCCGCUCUGAAGGGGGCUGGCCGAGUUUUGCUGACUUUCCGCGAGAGCCUGUGGGUGGGAGCGGGUGAGGUUCCACAGAGGACCCAGCCCUCGUCUGUUUCUUCCAGGACGCUGGGGUUUGGGGUUUCAGAGUCUGGUUUUUCUUUGUUUCCGGAGAGUCCAUUCCAGCGUCUAUUAAACAAGAAUAAGAAGGAAAGAUUCGAAGCAAUAUCCCAAUACUCUUUAGAUUCUAUCAACUGUGAGACACUAUGGAUUUUCAAAGCCGGCUGACUGCCUUUCAUGCCUCUGAACUCCGCCCUUCCUUGGCAUGACGGAGAAGGAAAACGAACUCAAGACCCACCCAGUACAGCAUCUUAAAUCUAAUCAGGUCCGCAAACAAGCGAAUUAUUUGAACUCAACGCAUCCCAAGUUGCAAAAGUGGGCCAAGUCGCUUGGCUCCUAGGACUACAGCUUUGCCUCCUUCAGGAGCUAGACAGCUGAUGCUCAGGAGAAUUGCAGGUAUGCGCCAGACCCCGGGAAGAAGCACACCCUCCUGUGUAAUGCGAAGGCCGCGGUCCGGACUUCAUCCUCCCCGGGUCUCAGGGGCCAGCUUGGAAGCCACAUGUUCUGGAUGGUAGGGCUAUUAGAGCGUAUGGACUCUGCUCAUUUUGGGCCUCAAAGGACUGUGUAGAGCAGAGCCUUGCCUAUUAUUCCUCCUACCCACCCCCGAACCAGCUGACCGGCCUUGGACGUGACUCAAGUGAAAAAUAAAUCUUAGUUAUAUUUAGCUACCAAGGCUUCAGGGUCAUUUUGUUACCAUGGCAUAACUUAGGCCAUCCUGACUCAUGCAAGGGGUUCCCUCCGCCUGGAAAAGUCUUACUGAUCCUUCUAGCCCGAUGCUGUUCUCUUUUGUGAAACUGAUCUGACCCAUUGCCCCUGCAUCUUGUCUAUAAUGCCAACGUGGUCCUUAUCACCUGUUAUCACAAUCAUUCAAUACCCAGUGAAUCAUGAAAUAGUAGAUGGUGUGUGCCUCGAGGGCAGGGUCUGUGUGCUGGUCAGCUGUCAGGUUUUUAUCUCCAGCACCCCACAGGGUGUUGGGCAUAAAGGAGGUACCCAAUCCAAUAAAUAAUGAAUGAAUGAAUGAAUGAAUGACCUGACUGCAUGUAAUCUGUCAGUAGAGAGUGAUGGGGAAGGCCUCAAGGAACAUGAAAACACCGUGUGGGACUCCGUGGCCUGGAGACAUGAGGAGUCAGUGACUGCAAUUUUGAGCUCAUGCCAUGUUCAGAGCAACAUGGCCUCUAUGAUAUAUAUCCCUGAGGCUUCAGUGAGUGAAAGGAUUACAGACGAUAAAACUAUCGUGUGCAAUCAGGAAGUUUAAAAGGGAGUCCAAAAAGUACUUUUAACUCAUGAGCAAGUACACUAGAGUGGAAUAAAAAUGCGCUUUCUUAUUGGCAGAAAGUGAUGAUUUAGGGGGUGCCCCAGGUGGCUCAGUUGGUGGAGCAGCCGACUUCGGCUCAGGUCAUGAUCUCGCAGUUUGUGAGUUCGAGCCCUGCAUGGGGAGGAUCGCGGCUGUUGGUGGAGAGCCCGCUUCAGAGCCUCUGUCUCCCUCUGUCUCUCAAAAAUAAAUAAACAUUUUUUUUUUUUAAAAAGAAAGUGACGAUUUAGGAAAUAGCAUUGCAUGUUUUUGACACAGCCAGAAUGACUGUCAAAUUAAAAUCGUGUAUAACUGGCUCACUGGAAGAGCAUGAAACAGGGAUUGUGAACCAAAUGGAACUCUUCCCCUCUUUCUCUCUCUCUCCAUCUGUCUAUCAUCUCUCGCCCCUGGGAGCAGUAGGGGCAGAUCCAAGUUUUGUGGGGGCCCCCAUUGUCUCCUUCAAUUUUAUUCGAUGGCGGCAGCAGCCCUCUCCCUCCAAUGAUGACUUGGGCCAGUGAACUUGCUGUCGUGCUCAGAUAAUACAAUACUCCUUUGAGUUGCAAAGAAGUAGCCUGCCUUUGGACCUUAACAUUCUAAGUCCCAGGUAAUAGUUAAAACUCUGAAACUGAUUUAGCCUGAAAUCUUUUCUUCUCCCUUGGCUCAGACCCGCCUCAUCCUGGAAGCCUGCCCUGGGAAAGGGGGCAUGGCCCUUCUCCUCGCCUCCCCCUCUGCUCACCUCCUCCCCCUUGCUAGCUGCUGCUUCCCUCCGUGCUUGGAAUGAAGCCCAGAAAGGGGAGAGGUAAGGGAAUAAGAUCGUUCUCACGUGGCUGGGUGGCCUAAGCCCUUUGGGCCGGCAGCUGGCCUCCAUGGGGUGGCCUGGCAGAUGAUUAAAGCUGGCCCUGUCACAGGCUCUGCAGAGGCCUCCAGCUGGGCCCCCCGUCUCCUGUGGUUCCCUUGACCCAGGCUGAAGGUCUCUAUCCCUCUGGGUGGUCUCACAUGACUCCUUCCCCAGCUCCUGGGAUUCCGGAGGUAUAACGGCCAGCCCCUUUCUGCUGAGGUCUUCCGUUCAUGCCUACAGGCCCCAAGACCACCCCACAGUGCCCCACACCUGCGCCCUUUCCCACGGGGACCACAUCUGGUCUUGGGACACUCCCCUUGCUCUGCCACCAAAGUAGUAUCCGCCACUGACGUUUAAAUGUCUCUCACGCCGUUCCGUGUGCUUUAACAUGUGUUAUCUCAGUGAACGCUCAUAACCAUCUACGACAUGGGUAGAUCUGGCAGGCCACGUCCGUGAGUGUUUAUUUAACAACUUCUGCCUUAAGUUCUGCUGUCACAAAACACUGCAGGCACCUUUCAUCUGUCACUGAUUUUGAUUACAGACCUAGGAAUGCAGAGAUUGAGGCUUUCCCUUAGCUUGACUGUAAACUCACCGCGAGUCUCAGGGCCGAUCGGUAAUAUCUCUGGAAUGGACUCAUCAACACCAAGGUUCCUUCUCACCCUAAAAUUCUGUGACUUAAGAACUCAUUCUAGGAUAAGGAAUUGCAUGUAGGUGUUCAGGGUAGGAGGUAAGAAAAGGCUAGUUGGGACCUAGGGCAUGGAGAAGCCUGGACAGUGUGGAUACAAGUAGCCCUGAAAAGUCUCGAGCAUAUUUAAGUUCUGACAAAAUGAUCAUUAAAAUGUCUCAAGACCUAGGUGUCUAUUGUUUCUUUUACAAUCCUAAUGAGAGAUCUCAGUAAAAAGAGAGGUUUUCACUCUUGGUUUUGGCUCAGGUCCUGAUCUCAUGGUUUGUGAGAUCGAGCCCCACGUCGGGCUCUGUGCACUGACAGUGAGGAGCCUGCUUGGGAUUCUGUCUCCCUCCCUCUCUGCCUUCCUCCCCUUGUGCUCCCUUUCUCUCUCUCAAAUAAAUCAAUAAACUUAGAGAAAAACAAUUUUAAGAAAAGACUAUAAAACUCAGUAUGAAAAUGAAUAUUGAUUUGGAAUGAAAAGAAAAAUUCCCCGGAAGUCUCCUCAUUAGCUUUAUAGUGAAUCUGCUUCAAAGCGAAGGCGGCUUGGUCUGUCUUGUUCAAAGCUGUGUCCUCUGGACUUAGAACAGUGUCCGGCACAUAGUAGGUGCUCAAGAAAUACUUGUAGAAUCAAAGGGUGAUUGACACUAGAGAACUGGUUAAAGGAGAGAGCAAGAAGAGGUAGGAAGCGUUUCCGUAACUUGCCCCUAAACGCAAUCAGUAAUCACGAGAACUGGAUUUGAACGUGGGUGUCUCUCCCCUCCUCUCUGGGUUGGUGACUGCACAGCUAGACUCUGUCCCCAGCCUCCCUUGCAGUCGGGGUGAUGUGACCAUAUGACAAAAUUCUUGCAAGUUAAAGGUGAGCAGACAUCAAGGUGCUACGUUGUGGCUUGAGCCUUAAGAUGAUGGGUACGCCUCCUCCCCACACCCCCUUUCUACCUGCUGGCUAAAAUCUGGAUAUGGGGCUGAUUCGGUUUGACAAGAACACGGAGGGGUUGGCAGAGUCACCACUUGGAAAAAACCAUGGUUCCCGAAUGAUCACAAAGAAACAGAGCUCCUCCAGUGACCUGCACAGUUCACAUCAGGAUUGUGCCUUGACGGACAAAUAACCCUCUUUGUUCUGUAAGCCACGGUGUUUUGAGACCUCUCCGUUUCAGCGUCACACUCGUACCAUUUUUCGAACGCAGGCCCUUGGCAUCACACUGUACUUUCUCCGAGCAACACUGCCAGAAACGGGGAGAGGGGUUCAUUUGCAGUCUGCCUGACAGACGCCUUGUGUUUUUCUCGUGGCUGUCCCUCACGCUUCCUUCCCUGGGAAUGAAUAUAACCGUGGCCAGCUAUGCGUCCGGUACUGUCCUGAGAACCUUCCACGAAAAGACUUGUAGUGCAGACAGUACUAUGAUGUCCAUUUUACAGCUGAGGAAACUGAGGUGCAGAGAGGUUAAGCAACACAGCUAGGGAGAGAGCUGGGAUUUGGACCCGUGCGGGUCGCUUCCACUGCUUACGCGGCCAGUCGCCUUGGCAUGUUCUUCUGACCCCCUUGCUUCAUUUCUUUUGCUGUCCUCCCGUCCUUCAGAUCCAUUCAAUUCUCCCAUUGUGAGUAGGCCAACAGAAACACCAGCUGGCCAUAAAUAAAAAGAAGUUUCUGCCUCUUUCUCUCGGUCAGCGAUUCCACGUUUUACAUCUCUUUGGUGUCUUCAUACAGUGUUGGGAACUCUUGGGUCUGGGGAGUGCCAUCAGCCAGCAUUACAUCAGGCACACCAGGCACAGUGAAGAGAGCCCCGAAUCAGAAGCUGGAGUUUCCAUGUCUUGGCCUGGCUCUGCCGUGGCUUUGUGCGCAGCCUUGACCGUGGCACUCCUCUCCGUAAAGUGACAGGCAUGGACGGUCUCUAAGGUUCCUCAUUGCUCUGAAAUCCAUAACCUGUGAGUCUUUCCUUCCUUGGUCCACCGUCUGUCCUCUGGCAGUGUCGGUCCAUUUGCAGAAGACCAGGGAGCAGGGAGCAGCGCUGUAUUUGAGAUCUUGAAGGACACCUCGUGGUGCCACUGGAGUCGGAGACGCAAAAGGAAAAGAUGAGGGUAAGUCGGACUCUGUCAGUUUCCUGGCAGUCCAGCCCUCACCAGGCUCAAAGGUCUCCCGCGUACACAGGUGCAAAUGAAAUAAUAUUCGAGAGUAAGAAUGGGGACAAGGAAGCUUCCAGGCUUGGAGAGGGAACAUGAACCCACUGACCAGUGAAAUGAUCCCCAGAUCAUUCCAGAAUCCCAGUUU